rnacentral:rRNA from 1 species
CCUACGGGGGGCAGCAGUGGGGAAUAUUGCACAAUGGGCGCAAGCCUGAUGCAGCCAUGCCGCGUGUGUGAAGAAGGCCUUCGGGUUGUAAAGCACUUUCAGCGGGGAGGAAGGCGUUAAGGUUAAUAACCUUGGCGAUUGACGUUACCCGCAGAAGAAGCACCGGCUAACUCCGUGCCAGCAGCCGCGGUAAUACGGAGGGUGCAAGCGUUAAUCGGAAUUACUGGGCGUAAAGCGCACGCAGGCGGUCUGUCAAGUCGGAUGUGAAAUCCCCGGGGUCAACCUGGGAACUGCAUUCGAAACUGGCAGGCUAGAGUCUUGUAGAGGGGGGUAGAAUUCCAGGUGUAGCGGUGAAAUGCGUAGAGAUCUGGAGGAAUACCGGUGGCGAAGGCGGCCCCCUGGACAAAGACUGACGCUCAGGUGCGAAAGCGUGGGGAGCAAACAGGAUUAGAUACCCCGGUAGUC